AAGGGAGAGAUUGACCAUAACACAGUAAUAGAAGUAAACUUUAACACCCCAUUGACAUCAAUGGAUAGGUCAUCCACACAGAAACCCAACAGGAAAACAGUGGACUUAAAUGGCACAUUAGACCAGAUGAACUUUAUUGAUAUUUUUAGGACAUUUCACCCAAAAGCAGCAAAAUAUACAUUCCUUCUAAGUGCACAUAGAACAUUUUCUAGGAUAAACCAAAUAUUAUGCCACAAAACAAGUCUUAAUAAAU